AUGGCUCAUUUCUGCAAGUGCCCUUAGGACUAUUAGGGCAAGAACUGCUCACACCUGAAAGAUCACUGCCACAUGACCCCCUGCGAAGUGAUUGACAGCUGCACAGUGGCCAUGACUUCCAACGACACACCUGAAGGGGUGCGGUAUAUUUCCUCGAACGUCUGUGGUCCCCACGGGAAGUGCAAGUCAGUCGGGAGGCAAAUUCACCUGUGAUUGUAACAAAGGCUUCACAGGAACAUACUGCCAUGAAAAUAUUAAUGACUGUGAGAGCAACCACUGUAAAAAUGGUGGCACUUGCAUCGAUGGGGUCAACUCCUACAAGUGCAUCUGUAGCGAUGGCUGGGAGGGGGCCUACUGUGAAACCAAUAUCAAUGACUGCAGCCAGAACCCCUGCCACAAUGGGGGCACGUGUCAUGACCUGGUCAAUGACUUCUACUGUGACUGUAAAAAUGGGUGGAAAGGAAAGACAUGCCACUCUCAUGACAGUCAGUGUGACUAGGCCACGUGCAACAAUGGUGGCACCUGCUAUGACGAGGGAGAUGCUUUUAAGUGCAUGUGUCCUGGCAGUUGGGAAGGAACCACCUGUAACAUAGCACGAAACAGUAGCUGCCUUCCCAACCCCUGCCACAAUGGGGGCACAUGUGUGGUCAACGGCGAGUCCUUUAGGUGCGUCUGCAAGGAAGGCUGGGAGGGGCCCAUAUGUACUCAGAAUACCAAUGACUGCAGCCCUCAUCCCUGUUACAACAGCGGCACCUGUGUGGAUGGAGACAACUGGUACUGGUGCGAAUGUGCCCCGGGUUUUGCUGGGCCCGACUGCAGAAUAAACAUCAACGAAUGCCGGUCUUCAUCUUGUGCCUUUGGGGAAACCUGUGUGGAUGAGAUCAAUGGCUACCGGUGUGUCUGUCCUCCAGGGCACAGUAGUGCCAUGUGCCAGGAAGUUUCAGGAAGACCUUUCAUCACCAUGUGGAGUGUGAUACCAGAUGGGGCCAAAUGGGAUGAUGACUGUAACACCUGCCAGUGUCUGAAUGGAUGGAUUGCCUGCUCAAAGGUCUGGUGUGGCCCUCGACCCUGCCUGUUCCACAAAGGGCACAGCGAGUGCCUUAACGGGCAGAACUGCAUCCCCAUCCUGGAUGACCAGUGCUUCGUCCGCCCCUGCACUGGUGUGGGCGAGUGUCAGUCUUCUGGUCUCCAACCAGUGAAGACGAAGUGCAUCUCUGACUCCUAUUACCAGGAUAAUUGUGGAAACAUCAUGUUCACCUUUAACAAGGAGAUGAUGUCACCAGGUCUUACCACUGAGCAAAUUUGCAGCGAAUGGAGGAAUUUGAAUAUUUUGAAGAAUGUUUCCACUGAAUAUUCAAUCUAUAUCGCUUGUGAGCCCUCUCCUUCUGCAAACAAUGAAAUACAUGUGGCCAUUUCUGAUGAAGAUACAUGGGAUGAUGGAAACCCAGUUAAGGAAAUCACCAACAAAAUCAUCGAUCUUGUUAGUAAACGUGAUGGAAACAGCUCAUUGAUUGCUGCCAUUGCAGAGGUAAGAGUUCAGAGACAGCCUCAGAAGAACAGAACAGAUUUCCUGGUGCCCUUGCUGAGCUCUGUCUUAACCGUGGCUUGGAUCUGUUGCUUGGCGACGGCCUUGUACUGGUGCCUGCGGAAGAGGAGGAAGCCAGGCAGCCACACACACUCAGCUGCCUAA